rnacentral:rRNA from 1 species
GACAGAGGUGCCGAGCGUUAGGCGGAAUCACUGGGCUUAAAGCGUGUGUAGGCGGGCCGUUAAGUGUCUUGUGAAAUCCCCCGGCUCAACCGGGGAAUUGCUGGGCAUACUGGCGGUCUUGAGCGAUCUAGGGGCAGAUGGAACAAGUGGUGGAGCGGUGAAAUGCGUAGAUAUCACUUGGAACGCCAAAGGUGAAGACAGUCUGCUGGGGAUCUGCUGACGCUGGGACACGAAAGCCAGGGGAGCGAACGGG